ACGGGGGGCAGAGGGGUGGCAGGGACGUCUCUGCCCUUCCCGGCCCCAAGGCUCAGCCCUGGCUUUCUGGACCCACACAGAUGGCCUCCCGCCUUCUCCACGGACUCCCACGCCUCAGGUCCCUGUCAUAGUCCAAGCCGGUUCGCAAGGGGACGAGGGAGGAGGAACACUUCAGCACCUCCUAUGUGCCCACUCGGCACUGAGAGCUGGCAUUGUCCCUUCCCACAUCAGACACCGUCUCGUCCACUCGCCUGCCGCCUGAGUAUCGUCUGUCUCCCCCAUUUGAGUACAAACACAGAGGACACUUACCGACUGGCCACUGUGCACCAGACUCCACGCUAAACACAACACAGGGAUCGACUCUGGCUUCCUCGCGGCAACCCGGCCAGGCGGGUACCAUAAUGAUUCCCUUUGACAGAGCCAGCAAGGGCUUUCGUCACUGCUUGUCCCCAGAACCAAGUCCACGGCCUGGCACAUAGCCGGUGCUCCAAAAAGAGCGAGUGAACGAACAGGUGAGUGAAAGCACGAGCUCCCGGAGUUCUGACAAUGCCUGUCCAGGAGGUAUUUACCCAUGAGGAAACCAAGGCUCGGAGAGGUGAGGUGACUUGCCCCGGGUCACAGUGAAGAUGUCACAGAACUGAGAUUUGAAGCUCGGGUGUCUUUUGUAAAACGCAAAGUGGGAGCUCAGUCCCCUCUGCCCUCCUGCCCCCUCGUGGCCCUGACCCCUCUCUAGGCUGCCCCCACCUCUGGACCACGGGGCCCAGGAGGGUGAACACGUGCCUGCCCGUCUCGGUGUCCGUAGGGUCCAGCCCGGGCCCGGCACACAGUAGGCCUUCAGAACGAAAUUCCGGCUCCUCCCUCCUGCCUCCAACACCUCCCAGGAUCGGGGUCUUCAGAACAUCACCCCAUCGCCUUUCUCCUCUCCUUACAUGCUGUUCCCUCUACCAGGAACACUCUUCCAGCACUUCCAUCCCACCCUCAGCUUAGAGGCCACCUCCUCUGCCGGGAAGCUCGAGGCACUUGGGGCUGCGGGGCCCCACUCUGCUGACCCGCGGGCCCUCCACUCCAGCCCAUGUCCUUACUUCCCUCUCCUUAGGGGCAGUUGGCCCGCACUGGCUGUCCAGCCACCCUAGUUUCAUCCCCACCCUGCCACUGACCUCCCGGGUGAACUCGGCCUGGGCCAUCGUUAGCUCAUCUGUCAGAUGGGUAGAAAAUUUGACUGUCACAGUCAGUGAAGGCUUGCUGUCCAUCAACCGGGUCACAUCAGUUCCUACUCAGAUCCUGCCAGUGGCAUUCGGCCCACAAAUCCCUACAUGAUCUCAGCCCUGCUGACCUCUCCAGCAUCAUCUCCUGUCACCUGCCCCUCCCUCUGUCCUGUCCAGCCACCUGGCCUCCUGCGUUUCCUGGAGCAUUCCAAGCCCACCCCAGGGCCCUUGCCCUUGAAGAUCCCUUCCCUUGGGAUUCAUUCCCCCUCCUCCUUCAGAUGUCGCUCCAUGCUCCCUCCUCAGAGAAGCCCUCUCCGUGAGCGAGCAGACAGCAAGCCUUCACAGCUCACGGCUUCACAGCUUCCCGCAGCUCCACGGCAACCCCUGUUUAUCUCCGUCUUGGCCUUCUCCCCGGUGCAAACUGUCUUAUCUAUUCGUGGGUUUGCUUGCUGAUCUCCUGUGUCCUCCACCAGAAUUGAGGCAGAGACCCCUUGUUCGCUGCUGUGUUCCCUGGAGUCUUGUAUACAGUAGGUGCUCAAGCAACGGUUGUGACACGAAGGGAAGAUCAUCAAAGCGCUUCCCUUUCCCUGCCCACCCCACCCCUAGCCGGAAGUUCAGGGCCUGGGAACCAGGUGGCUCCCUCCGAGCCCCAGAUCGCGUCUGGUUCCCAGCCUCAUAAAAACCAUCACUCUCACUUUGCCCCUGGGCAGCAGAGGGUGAAGGAGGCAGGCGUGGGGCCCAGAGGCUGACCCCAACGUGGCUUCAGAGACCGGGGCCAGGAGAAGGUGCAGACUGUGGCAGUGAGUGUUCAUGGAGCGCUUUGUGUGGGUCCGGCAGCUGUUUGCACACCGCACACAGCACUCACGGCCAACUGUACAAGGUCAGGAUCACCACCCCGAUGCUCUGCCAGCGAGGAAACUGAGGCAUCACGGGGCGCAGCAGCAUGCCCCAGACCCGGCAGCCAGAGAAAGCCACAGUCAGGAUCCGAACCCGGCUCUGCCGGCCACCAAAGCCCGCGUGUGCCCACCCACCCUGGUCAGCCCACGGAUUCCGUGUGAGCUCCAACUAUGUGCCAGGCGCUGGUUCUGAGCACUGGGCCUCGAGGCCGACCAGCACUGAGGCCGCAGGCAGGGUACUCAGCCCCUCUGGGCCUCGGUUUCCCCACCUGGCGUUUGCGGUUUCAUAGGGUUACCCUAAGACCAGGAUAAGAUAUGUGCCCAGUGCCUUGAACGCAGUAAGUGCUUAAUAAGCGCUCACAGUUAUUUACUCCAGUCGUCUGGGCCUUGCUUUCCCCAUCUGUAACCGGGAGGGCAGCCCUAAUCACCCAGGACCUCUUCUAGGUCACCGGAGCAAAACCCGGGGGUCCUGGGGUGGCCCUGCCAGGCUGAGAAGGUCUGGGGGAUGGGAGAGGGCGGCACAGCGGCUGGGAUCAGGAAGCUGCAGGAGGCUGGGCUGACUCACCAGUCAGCCGGGCUUGGGGGCUGGGCUGCGGGCCCCCCACGCGCCCCUCUGGGCCCUGCCUUGCGCCCAAAAAUGCUGUGUCAUGCUCUGUCAUGUGGCUCCGGGUCAUUAAUACCCGAGUUCUGGGAAGCUUGGGCCGAGUUCCCGGAAGGGGUCAGUCAGUUCAGUAAACAGAUUGGCUGGUUGGUCGUCACAGCUGAGCCGGGCGGGCCUGCAGCUCAGGAGGCAGGAGGUGGGGACCGGUGGCCACAGGGGACACAGGAACUGCCCCCAUCCCUAGGCAGGGCUAGCACCUCCCAGGGCAGUCUGGCCCAGGAUCCGCACAUGAGAGGGGAAACCGAGGCUCAGAGAGGGCAAGGCACUUGCCAGAGGCCACACAGCGAGUCUAGGGUUCAAACCCAGAAUUCUGGACUCAUCAUCCAGUGCUCUCAGCAUCUGUCUGACUGAAGGGUGGGAGGCUCUGUAUCCUCCUUACCCCCCAAUCCUGACCUAGACCCCAAAGCCAGUUUGUUGGAUGAAGGGAAAAACACACAGAAGGCAAUUUGGGCAGGAAGUGGGUUUGGAAGGAUAUCAGGCUGUCCCCAGUGGUAGGUCCUAGAAUAAUAAGACUUCAACUUUCUUGAGCACCUACUAUGCGUCCUUAGGCACAUGAGGGCCACUUAGGCUCUGCUCUAAGUAUCUUACAUUAAGUCACGCAUUUAAUAUGCAGCCACCUUCACACAGAUAACCACAGCCCUCAUUUUUUAAGCAUCUACUAAGUGCCAAGCACUGAGCUGGGUGAUUGAUAGGCACCACCUCUGAUCUUCACACGGACCCUAUUGGGUGCCCACUGUCCUCACCCCCAUUUAUCAGAUGAGGAAGUAGAGGCCCAGGAAGGUGAGCGGCUGUGUCAUUUGGUGGCAGGAGAGUAGGCCCCGGAGUCCCCUGGACCUGGGGAUUCAAACCUUGGCUUCACCCCUUCCAUCGGUAUAAUGUCACGAAAGCGACCCCACCACUCGGAGCCUGGGUUCCCCCCCUCGGGUAAGUAGGGAUGUUUAUGGUACUCGGGACACAGGGAGCCAGACCUGGCGUGAGCACAUAAGGGUCGUUACAGAGCAGCGGUUGGAACGCAGACUUCGGGCUCCAGUCCUACUGGGUGACCUCAGGUACACAGCUUAACUUCUCUGGGCCUCUGUGUCCUCUGUAAAACGGGCAUCAUACACCUCCCUCGUGCCGCCAGCGGGAGGAAGAGCUGGGCAUUGCACAGGCAGUCAGCACGGGUGACCUCUUCUUCUGUCCCACAGAUGAUGACUCUGCUGGGGUGAGGGGAAGGGGCCCUAGGCCGUGGACGAAGGACAAGGCAUCCAUGCUCUCUGCCACCCUUCUGGUCCCACAAGCAAUUUAAACAGAGGAGGUCAGCCCCUCAUUCUUCUCCACAUUCUCGGGGCCCCCCCCCCCCCGGGCCCGGUUGUGCUCCUGACAGGCCUCAUCUCUGCUCUUUGGUUUUUGCGGCGCCUCUGACCAUCGGUAGCUCCAGCCCCGACCCCCUUGGUCCAGACCCUCACCUCGCUAUCCCCACCUUCACACUUGCACUCACGGGGUCCUCCACCUCGCAUGCUCUCACUUACCCUAGCCCAUCUGCCUGCUCUAUAUUUCACCCAUCCUUUGCCACUCGGAUCCAAAACCGCCUCCUCCAGGGAGCCUGCCCGGAUCCUCCCCCUAAAAGCAAACUCUCCUGGAUUCUCUCUAAACCUCACUUACCCCUUCCUAUCAUUACACAUCAGCUAUUUUUGCACACGUCACCUCCAAUUUUGGCUGCCGUGGGGUGGAAAAUUUGCAAGGGAGCUUUGGAAAAGAAAUUUUAUUGCCUCUAAAAUACUUAAAGAAACCUGCUAAAUCGAAAUUAAUCAAUCUUUCAUUAAGCCACUCAAACUUCACAAUUCAGCAUUCAAUUCCUAAUUUAGUAUUUACGAAAAUUUUUGUGCUGUUUGAAAACAAUCUGCAAGCGAGAAUGUUCCUUGUUGGGCAAACACUCCCUGGUGUACAUGGGGAUUGCCAAGAACCCAAAGUCAGUGGUAAAAUAAAUGAGCAGCCUGUUGCCAAACAAUUUCGGAAGUGAAAUUAUUAAUAUUAUUAAAGUUCUUUUGUGAUUUUCCCAG